GCGGGCGUAGCUCAGUUGGCUAGAGCGUCAGCCUUCCAAGCUGAGGGUCGCGAGUUCGAGUCUCGUCGCCCGCU
rfam:Nautilia profundicola AmH, complete genome.